GACGAACGCUGGCGGCGUGCUUAACACAUGCAAGUCGAACGAGGCUCCUUCUUCGGUUGGGGGUUCUAGUGGCGAACGGGUGAGUAACACGUGGGCAACCUGCCCCUGGCUCUGGGAUAACUCCAAGAAAUUGGGGCUAAUACCGGAUAUGACCGCUGAUCGCAUGGUCUGGUGGUGGAAAGAUUUAUCGGCUGGGGAUGGGCCCGCGGCCUAUCAGCUUGUUGGUGGGGUAGUGGCCACCAAGGCGACGACGGGUAGCCGGCCUGAGAGGGUGACCGGCCACACUGGGACUGAGACACGGCCCAGACUCCUACGGGAGGCAGCAGUGGGGAAUAUUGCGCAAUGGCGAAAGCCUGACGCAGCGACGCCGCGUGGGGAUGACGGCC
rnacentral:rRNA from 1 species